rnacentral:rRNA from 1 species
GACAGCAGCCGCCACGGUAAUACAGAGGGUGCGAGCGUUAAUCGGAUUUACUGGGCGUAAAGCGUGCGUAGGCGGCUUUUUAAGUCGGAUGUGAAAUCCCUGAGCUUAACUUAGGAAUUGCAUUCGAUACUGGGAAGCUAGAGUAUGGGAGAGGAUGGUAGAAUUCCAGGUGUAGCGGUGAAAUGCGUAGAGAUCUGGAGGAAUACCGAUGGCGAAGGCAGCCAUCUGGCCUAAUACUGACGCUGAGGUACGAAAGCAUGGGGAGCAAACAGGAUUAGAUACCCCUGUAGUCCCUGUCUCUUAUAC